rnacentral:rRNA from 1 species
GACGAACGCUGGCGGCGUGCUUAACACAUGCAAGUCGAACGGAAAGGCCUUGCUUUUGUGGGGUGCUCGAGUGGCGAACGGGUGAGUAACAUGAGAGUAACCUGCCCUUGACUUUGGGAUAACUUCAGGAAACUGGGGCUAAUACCGGAUAGGAGCCUCCGCUGCAUGGUGGGGGUUGGAAAGUUUCGGCGGUUGGGGAUGGACUCGCGGCUUAUCAGCUUGUGGGUGGGGUAGUGGCUUACCAAGGCUUUGACGGGUAGCCGGCCUGAGGGGGUGACCGGCCACAUUGGGACUGAGAUACGGCCCGGACUCCUACGGGAGGCAGCAGUGGGGAAUAUUGCACAAUGGGCGGAAGCCUGAUGCAGCAACGCCGCGUGCGGGAUGACGGCCUUCGGGUUGUAAACCGCUUUCGCCUGUGACGAAGCGUGAGUGACGGUAAUGGGUAAAGAAGCACCGGCUAACUACGUG